rnacentral:rRNA from 1 species
CCUACGGGAGGCAGCAGUGAGGAAUAUUGGUCAAUGGUCGGGAGACUGAACCAGCCAAGCCGCGUGAGGGAUGAAGGUACAGAGUAUCGUAAACCUCUUUUGUCAGGGAACAAAGGCGGGGACGUGUCCCCGGAUGAGUGUACCUGAAGAAAAAGCAUCGGCUAACUCCGUGCCAGCAGCCGCGGUAAUACGGAGGAUGCGAGCGUUAUCCGGCUUUAUUGGGUGUAAAGGGUGCGCAGGCGGUCUGUUAAGUCAACGGUCAAAGCCCGGGGCUCAACCCCGGCACGGCCUGGGAAACUGGCAGGCUCGAGUUGGAGAGAAGGAGGCAGAAUGCGAGGUGUAGCGGUGAAAUGCAUAGAGAUCGCGCAGAACUCCGAUUGCGAAGGCAGCAUGCCGGCUCAACACUGACGCUGAGGCACGAAAGCGUGGGUAGCGAACAGGAUUAGAUACCCCUGUAGUC